UACGGAGGGUGCAAGCGUUACCCGGAAUCACUGGGCGUAAAGGGCGUGUAGGCGGUUAUUUAAGUCUGGUUUUAAAGACCGGGGCUCAACCCCGGGGAUGGACUGGAGACUGGAUGACUAGACCUCUGGAGAGGCAAUCGGAAUUCCUGGUGUAGCGGUGGAAUGCGUAGAUACCAGGAGGAACACCAACGGCGAAGGCAGCUCUCUGGGACGGUACUGGACGCUGAGACGCGAAAGCGUGGGGAGCGAACAGG
rnacentral:rRNA from 1 species